rnacentral:snRNA from 1 species
AGAUGUACCCGGCAGAGAAGAUACCAUGAUCCCUCCAACAAGGUGGUUUUCCCAGGGCAAGGCUUAUCCAUUGCACUCUGGAUGUGCUGACCCCUGUGAUUUCCCCAAAUGUGGGAAACUCAACUGCAUAAUUUAUGGUAGCAGGGGACUGCUUUUGAGCUCUCCCCUA